rnacentral:rRNA from 1 species
GUUAAUAGUACACAGCCUUGACGUUACCAACAGAAGAAGCACCGGCUAACUCUGUGCCAGCAGCCGCGGUAAUACAGAGGGUGCAAGCGUUAAUCGGAAUUACUGGGCGUAAAGCGCACGUAGGCGGUUUUUUAAGUCAGAUGUGAAAGCCCCGGGCUCAACCUGGGAAUUGCAUUUGAAACUGGAAAACUAGAGUGUGUGAGAGGGGGGUAGAAUUCCAAGUGUAGCGGUGAAUGCGUAGAGUUUUGGAGGAAUACCAGUGGCGAAGGCGGCCCCCUGGCACAACACUGACGCUCAGGUGCGAAAGCGUGGGGAGCAAACAGGAUUAGAUACCCUGGUAGUCCACGCCGUAAACGAUGUGUACUAGCUGUUCGUGACCUUGUGUCGUGAGUAGCGCAGCUAACGCACUAAGUAGACCGCCUGGGGAGUACCNGUCGCAAGAUUAAAACUCAAAUGAAUUGACGGGGGCCCGCACAAGCGGUGGAGCAUGUGGUUUAAUACGACGCAACGCGAAGAACCUUACCUACUCUUGACAUCCAGAGAAGACUGCAGAGAUGCGGUUGUGCCUUCGGGAACUCUGAGACAGGUGCUGCAUGGCUGUCGUCAGCUCGUGUUGUGAAAUGUUGGGUUAAGUCCCGCAACGAGCGCAACCCUUAUCCUUAGUUGCCAGCACGUAAUGGUGGGAACUCUAGGGAGACUGCCGGUGAUAAACCGGAGGAAGGUGGGGACGACGUCAAGUCAUCAUGGCCCUUACGAGUAGGGCUACACACGUGCUACAAUGGUAUGUACAGAGGGAGGCAAGCUGGCGACAGUGAGCGGAUCUCUUAAAGCAUAUCGUAGUCCGGAUCGCAGUCUGCAACUCGACUGCGUGAAGUCGGAAUCGCUAGUAAUCGCAAAUCAGAAUGUUGCGGUGAAUACG